CGACGUGGGCAACCUGCCUCAUACAGGGGGAUAGCAUCGGGAAACUGGUGGUAAAACCGCAUAAGCGCACGAAGACGCAUGUAUUCGUGUGAAAAGGAGAAAUCUGGUAUGAGAUGGACCCGCGUCUGAUUAGCUAGUUGGAGUGGUAAAAGCACACCAAGGCGACGAUCAGUAGCCGGCCUGAGAGGGUGGACGGCCACAUUGGGACUGAGACACGGCCCAGACUCCUACGGAAGGCAGCAG
rnacentral:rRNA from 1 species